GACGAACGCUGGCGGCGUGCCUAAUACAUGCAAGUCGAACGCUGAAGAGAGGAGCUUACUCUUCUUGGAUGAGUUGCGGACGGGUGAGUAACGCGUAGGUAACCUGCCUUGUAGCGGGGGAUAACUAUUGGAAACGAUAGCUAAUACCGCAUAACAAUGGAUGACACAUGUCAUUUAUUUGAAAGGGGCAAUUGCUCCACUACAAGAUGGACCUGCGUUGUAUUAGCUAGUAGGUGAGGUAAUGGCUCACCUAGGCGACGAUACAUAGCCGACCUGAGAGGGUGAUCGGCCACACUGGGACUGAGACACGGCCCAGACUCCUACGGGAGGCAGCAGUAGGGAAUCUUCGGCAAUGGGGGCAACCCUGACCGAGCAACGCCGCGUGAGUGAAGAAGGUUUUCGGAUCGUAAAGCUCUGUUGUAAGUCAAGAACGGGUGUGAGAGUGGAAAGUUCACACUGUGACGGUAGCUUACCAGAAAGGGACGGCUAACUACGUG
rnacentral:rRNA from 1 species